rnacentral:lncRNA from 1 species
AUACUGCCACCGCAAUAUAAUUAUUUUACGCUCAUUUCAUUACACACACCUCAUUUAAUGGUACACUCCUUGCACUCUUUCUUUUCUUAUUUUGGGUACAUGCCCAUAUUAAGGAGCCAUACUAUCAAUUUUUAAGUUAGGUUUUCUCUUUGUGUACAUUCCUAUCAUCAACCUCUCUCUUCAUUUCUCGCAUUCUUGAACAGCUAACUGAUAAUAGAGAUUCUGACAGAAAAUCUUUGCGGUCCUACAUGAUCAAUUGAAGAAGAGAUGUGUUUCCUGUAGUUUCAAUAUUGUCAAAUAUUCACANNNCUUUCUUUUUGUUCUUGUUAUUAUUUUAUAGCUCUUAAUUCAUGAAAGCUCAAUACACUGUAGCUGCAGAAUAAAAAACAAUUAUUCAUUUGCAGUCGACAAAUACGAGGGAGCAAAUAUUCUUGCAGAAUUAGGCAUCAUGUGUGUUAUCUAGCUAUAUAUUUUUAUCCUAUGACAUAAACAAUAUAAUUAAAAUUAAAGGAGGAAAAAGAAAAAGUAAGUCCGGAAGGCCCUUAGCAUCGGACUAUAGUAUCCUUCCCAUAUGCAUGCUCUUGUUCCACUUGUUGCCAUAACUUAUGAUAACAAAUAUGAAAAAUAACCUAAGCCACUUUAAUAAAAUAAUAAAAAGAAAUUUCAUACUAAAAAACAAAAGAUAGAAAAAUAUUCCUGAUAAUUCAAGCCAAUAACAGGAUAUCCAAGGAAUAAAUAGGUCAUUUGUGUUAUUGAUUACAGGCCUAAAGAGAAAAUUUAAGAAUCAAAUAAAAAUUCAUUGACUCAGAAAGUUCCCAGUAGCAUAUAUACUGAUGUGUCUAAAUUAGUACUCACAAUCGCAAGUGCACGAACCAUUUCUAUAGUAAUAGUAAGUUCAUCAGGAAGUCGAUCUCUCAAGGAACUAUGAUGCCACUUUUUAUAAAGACUAAUUAUCAACAUAAAAUAAUAAAAGUAAAUCUAAAUACUCUAAACCAGUAUUUUUGAGAAAAUAAUAUUUCAUAAAAUAAAUUAAAUAAACUAUAAAGUAAAUAAGCAAUGAUGUGAUGUAUGAAAACUAUAUGCUAAAUACAAUAUUUAGCUUAGCCAUUUACUUAGUAAUUUCCUUAUCUUACUUAAAGCUUAAAUCUAAUGAAUGAGAUGGUGAUGUGUCUUUUCCUUUAAUUACUUAAGCUAAUGAUGCAACUAACUUUUACCAUCAUAGAUUGAAGCAAAGAUGACGUCUCUAAUACAUUCAACCUAAAAAAUUUCGUAAUAAUUAUUAUCAUUAAAUUAAUAUAAUAGUUAACUAAUAAUAAUAAUUGAUACUAAUAAAGAUAUGAAGGUAAAAAAAUCACUCAUUAAAUAAAUAAAUAAUAAAGUUCAUACAUAAGUAAAAAUUCUAAACUAAAUAAUUAUAAAAACUAGUCUAAUAUAUUUAACCCAAUGAUUAUGGUAUUAAAUAGAAAGACAUAAAACAAUAAAGUAAAAACUUCCUCUAGAUCAAGAAUCUCUUCAAGUAGGAAGAUGAUUGGUCUUCACUCUCCACUUCCUGAAAAGCUCCUUAAAUCUUAAAAAGAGUAAUGAAAACUAAACUAAAGUGUUUAUGGAAGAACCGUAGAGAAAAUAACGGUGGACAGAUGUAUAGAGCAGAUAGAAGAGAAAUCUAAGUAAGAAGAUUUAUAGAGAUAUAUAUAUAUAUAUAUAUAUAUAUAUAUAUAUAUAUAUAGAGAGAGAAUAGUCCUCCUCUAAGUAAGUCUCUCUAGAUAUAAGUAUACCAAUAUAAGUCUAUCUGAUAGAUAAGAAUAUAUGUAUCUUUAUCUCCACCAAGUACUAUCCCAUGAAUAAUUCUUAAAAUAAAUUCUAAUAAUUAUAUAAAAUGACUAAAAUGUCUCUUGGGCCUUAUAAUUUUUGAUCAGGCCUUGCAAAUAGCAGUCUAUGCGUCUUAAUCUUGGGUCUUCUAUUAAACUUCUUUUUUAGUAUUUAGCUCCAUAUUUUCUUUUUUUGGCUAAUAUUAUCUGAAAAUAGACAAUUAGAUUUAAGUAAAAUAAAAAUACAUAUAUGAAAAUCAUAUUAUUAAAAUUUUAAAAUAUUAUAAAUAUCUAUAUAUAAUUUGGACCUAUGAUAAAAAUUACAUAUUGUCAUCUACUAGCUACGAGAAUACUAAUCAACCUUUUUGCUUUUCGUGGUUCAAGAGGAAAGGCAUUUCUCCAGCUUUGGCUUUCUUGUAUUUUUCUUUUCCUACGCAAUUCUUCUACGAUCUGUUAGUCACAAGAUUCAAGGAAUAUUUGUAAUGACUUGGGGAAAAAAAGAGAGAAGAAAAAACAAAACGAAAAAGACAGAGAAUAGAGAAUUCUAGAUAUGUAAAAAUGAAGAAUUACCAAUUUCAGAAAAUCAAUCAACUGGUUCGGUGUACACAUGUGGUGGCAAUCUGGAAUGCGAUGCUUAGAAUCCAAUGCCUAAGCCCUUAGUUUUUGUUGACUUGCUAUCAUAAAAUAGAACCCAGUAAUAUACCAAUAAAUGAGAUUAAUUCGGAUUAAUAAUUUAAUAGUACUUGAGAGAUCUCUAAAACCUGUAUAAUUUCAUUCAACUAGAUUCUAUCCAAAAAUUUAGACUAUUAGUAAAUAUAAAAAUUUGUAAGUCUCUUAGAUAACCCUCUACUCGAUUGAUCUUCAAAAACUGUGUAAUUGUUUGAAAUUUUUUUGUCAAUAAAAUGGGAUUGAUCAAUGAUCGAACUCUAAACUUUUUAGUAAUAGAUUUCUUUUAUAUAAUAUAAAAAAACUUAAGUUAUUAGUGGAAGAUCACAAAUAAUUUUAUAUAUUUGACAAAACAAAUAUAUAUAUA